rnacentral:rRNA from 1 species
UUGAACGCUGGCGGCAGGCCUAACACAUGCAAGUCGAACGGUAACAGGAAACAGCUUGCUGUUUCGCUGACGAGUGGCGGACGGGUGAGUAAUGUCUGGGAAACUGCCCGAUGGAGGGGGAUAACUACUGGAAACGGUAGCUAAUACCGCAUAACGUCGCAAGACCAAAGAGGGGGACCUUAGGGCCUCUUGCCAUCGGAUGUGCCCAGAUGGGAUUAGCUAGUAGGUGGGGUAAAGGCUCACCUAGGCGACGAUCCCUAGCUGGUCUGAGAGGAUGACCAGCCACACUGGAACUGAGACACGGUCCAGACUCCUACGGGAGGCAGCAGUGGGGAAUAUUGCACAAUGGGCGCAAGCCUGAUGCAGCCAUGCCGCGUGUAUGAAGAAGGCCUUCGGGUUGUAAAGUACUUUCAGCGGGGAGGAAGGGAGUAAAGUUAAUACCUUUGCUCAUUGACGUUACCCGCAGAAGAAGCACCGGCUAACUCCGUGCCAGCAGCCGCGGUAAUACGGAGGGUGCAAGCGUUAAUCGGAAUUACUGGGCGUAAAGCGCACGCAGGCGGUUUGUUAAGUCAGAUGUGAAAUCCCCGGGCUCAACCUGGGAACUGCAUCUGAUACUGGCAAGCUUGAGUCUCGUAGAGGGGGGUAGAAUUCCAGGUGUAGCGGUGAAAUGCGUAGAGAUCUGGAGGAAUACCGGUGGCGAAGGCGGCCCCCUGGACGAAGACUGACGCUCAGGUGCGAAAGCGUGGGGAGCAAACAGGAUUAGAUACCCUGGUAGUCCACGCCGUAAACGAUGUCGACUUGGAGGUUGUGCCCUUGAGGCGUGGCUUCCGGAGCUAACGCGUUAAGUCGACUGCCUGGGGAGUACGGCCGCAAGGUUAAAACUCAAAUGAAUUGACGGGGGCCCGCACAAGCGGUGGAGCAUGUGGUUUAAUUCGAUGCAACGCGAAGAACCUUACCUGGUCUUGACAUCCACGGAAGUUUUCAGAGAUGAGAAUGUGCCUUCGGGAACCGUGAGACAGGUGCUGCAUGGCUGUCGUCAGCUCGUGUUGUGAAAUGUUGGGUUAAGUCCCGCAACGAGCGCAACCCUUAUCCUUUGUUGCCAGCGGUCCGGCCGGGAACUCAAAGGAGACUGCCAGUGAUAAACUGGAGGAAGGUGGGGAUGACGUCAAGUCAUCAUGGCCCUUACGACCAGGGCUACACACGUGCUACAAUGGCGCAUACAAAGAGAAGCGACCUCGCGAGAGCAAGCGGACCUCAUAAAGUGCGUCGUAGUCCGGAUUGGAGUCUGCAACUCGACUCCAUGAAGUCGGAAUCGCUAGUAAUCGUGGAUCAGAAUGCCACGGUGAAUACGUUCCCGGGCCUUGUACACACCGCCCGUCACACCAUGGGAGUGGGUUGCAAAAGAAGUAGGUAGCUUAACCUUCGGGAGGGCGCUUACCACUUUGUGAUUCAUGACUGGGGUG